AACGAACGCUGGCGGCAGGCUUAACACAUGCAAGUCGAGCGCCCCGCAAGGGGAGCGGCAGACGGGUGAGUAACGCGUGGGAAUCUACCCAUCCCUACGGAACAACUCCGGGAAACUGGAGCUAAUACCGUAUACGUCCUUCGGGAGAAGGAUUUAUCGGGGAUGGAUGGGCCCGCGUUGGAUUAGCUAGUUGGUGGGGUAAAGGCCUACCAAGGCAACGCUCCAUAGCUGGUCUGAGAGGAUGAUCAGCCACACUGGGGCUGAGACACGGCCCAGAAGCCUACGGGGGGCAGCAGAGGGGAAUAUUGGACAAUGGGCGCAAGCCUGAUCCAGCCAUGCCGCGUGAGUGAUGACGGCCCUAGGGUUGUAAAGCUCUUUCACCGGUGAAGAUAAUGACGGUAACCGGAGAAGAAGCCCCGGCUAACUUCGUGCCAGCCGCCGCGGUAAAAC
rnacentral:rRNA from 1 species